GACGAACGCUGGCGGCGUGCUUAACACAUGCAAGUCGAACGGAAAGGCCCUGCUUUUGUGGGGUGCUCGAGUGGCGAACGGGUGAGUAACACGUGAGUAACCUGCCCUUGACUUUGGGAUAACUUCAGGAAACUGGGGCUAAUACCGGAUCGGAGCUCCUGCUGCAUGGUGGGGGUUGGAACGUUUCGGCGGUUGGGGAUGGACGAGCGGCUUAUCAGCUUGUUGGUGGGGUAGUGGCUUACCAAGGCUUUGACGGGUAGCCGGCCUGAGAGGGUGACCGGCCACAUUGGGACUGAGAUACGGCCCAGACUCCUACGUGAGGCAGCAGUGGGGAAUAUUGCACAAUGGGCGGAAGCCUGAUGCAGCAACGCCGCGUGCGGGAUGACGGCCUUCGGGUUGUAAACCGCUUUCGCCUGUGACGAAGCGUGAGUGACGGUAAUGGGUAAAGAAGCACCGGCUAACUACGUG
rnacentral:rRNA from 1 species